rnacentral:tRNA from 2 species
AGCAGAGAAGAGCAACGGUUGUUCGCAAGGCUCAUAACCUUGAGGUAGCAGGUUCGACUCCUGCCUCUGCAACCA